rfam:Salmo salar isolate Sally breed double haploid chromosome ssa03, whole genome shotgun sequence.
UCCACUCACUACUGUAAGUUGCUCUGGAUAAGAGCGUUUGCUAAAUGAUUAAAA